rnacentral:rRNA from 1 species
UACGUAGGGUGCGAGCGUUGUCCGGAAUUACUGGGCGUAAAGCGCACGUAGGCGGCUUUCUAAGUCGGGGGUGAAAUCCUGGAGCUCAACUCCAGAACUGCCUUUGAUACUGGCGAUCUUGAGUCCGGGAGAGGUGAGUGGAACUGCGAGUGUAGAGGUGAAAUUCGUAGAUAUUCGCAAGAACACCAGUGGCGAAGGCGGCUCACUGGCCCGGUACUGACGCUGAGGUGCGAAAGCGUGGGGAGCAAACAGG